GUGGGGAAUAUUGGACAAUGGGCGAAAGCCUGAUCCAGCCAUGCCGCGUGUGUGAAGAAGGUCUUCGGAUUGUAAAGCACUUUAAGUUGGGAGGAAGGGCAGUAAGUUAAUACCUUGCUGUUUUGACGUUACCAACAGAAUAAGCACCGGCUAACUUCGUGCCAGCAGCCGCGGUAAUACGAAGGGUGCAAGCGUUAAUCGGAAUUACUGGGCGUAAAGUGCGCGUAGGUGGUUCAGCAAGUUGAAGGUGAAAUCCCCGGGCUCAACCUGGGAACUGCUUCCAAAACUACUGAGCUAGAGUACGGUAGAGAGUAGUGGAAUUUCCUGUGUAGCGGUGAAAUGCGUAGAUAUAGGAAGGAACACCAGUGGCGAAGGCGACUACCUGGACUGAUACUGACACUGAGGUGCGAAAGCGUGGGGAGCAAACAGGAUUAGAAACCCCAGUAGUCC
rnacentral:rRNA from 1 species